GGAGAAGCAAAGUGAUGAGCAUUAUUGGCUAGAGCCCCAAAGAGGCACAUGUGUGUAUGUGUGUGUAUGCAUGUGUGUCUGUAUCCUUGUCUGUGCAUGCACAUGUAUGUCUGGGAGUACGAAUGUGUCUGACUGAUUAUAGGGAACUAGUUUGUGCCUUCUGUUGGACGAUGACAGUCAAACUGAUAAGAUCUGAUUGCUUC